rnacentral:tRNA from 1 species
AAUAAGGUAAGCUAACUAAAGCUAGUGGGCCCAUAACCCAAAAAUGGUAAAUCCCCUUAUUACCA